rnacentral:rRNA from 1 species
GAUGAACGCUGGCGGCGUGCCUAAUACAUGCAAGUCGAGCGAACGGACGAGAAGCUUGCUUCUCUGAUGUUAGCGGCGGACGGGUGAGUAACACGUGGAUAACCUACCUAUAAGACUGGGAUAACUUCGGGAAACCGGAGCUAAUACCGGAUAAUAUUUUGAACCGCAUGGUUCAAAAGUGAAAGACGGUCUUGCUGUCACUUAUAGAUGGAUCCGCGCUGCAUUAGCUAGUUGGUAAGGUAACGGCUUACCAAGGCAACGAUGCAUAGCCGACCUGAGAGAGUGAUCGGCCACACUGGAACUGAGACACGGUCCAGACUCCUACGGGAGGCAGCAGUAGGGAAUCUUCCGCAAUGGGCGAAAGCCUUACGGAGCAACGCCGCGUGAGUGAUGAAGGUCUUCGGAUCGUAAAACUCUGUUAUUAGGGAAGAACAUAUGUGUAAGUAACUGUGCACAUCUUGACGGUACCUAAUCAGAAAGCCACGGCUAACUACGUG